UACAGAGGUGGCAAGCGUUGUUCGGAAUUACUGGGCGUAAAGGGCUCGUAGGCGGCCAACUAAGUCAGACGUGAAAUCCCUCGGCUUAACCGGGGAACUGCGUCUGAUACUGGAUGGCUAGAGUUUGGGAGAGGGAUGCGGAAUUCCAGGUGUAGCGGUGAAAUGCGUAGAUAUCUGGAGGAACACCGGUGGCGAAGGCGGCAUCCUGGACCAACACUGACGCUGAGGAGCGAAAGCCAGGGGAGCAAACGGG
rnacentral:rRNA from 1 species